rnacentral:rRNA from 1 species
GAACAUCCCUUUCCGCAAGGACUGCUGCGGAGGUGCUGCAUGGCUGUCGUCAGCUCGUGUCGUGAGAUGUUGGGUUAAGUCCCGCAACGAGCGCAACCCUUAUCGUUAGUUGCCAUCAGGUCAAGCUGGGCACUCUAGCGAAACCGCCUCGGAUAACGGGGAGGAAGGUGGGGAUGACGUCAAGUCCUCAUGGCCUUUAUGUCCAGGGCUACACACGUGCUACAAUGGUCGGUACAAACCGUCGCAAACCCGCGAGGGGGAGCUAAUCGGAAAAAGCCGGCCUCAGUUCGGAUUGGAGUCUGCAACUCGACUCCAUGAAGCUGGAAUCGCUAGUAAUCGCAGAUCAGAACGCUGCGGUGAAUACGUUCCCGGGCCUUGUACACACCGCCCGUCACAUCACGAAAGUGGGUGAUACUAGAAGCCGUCCCGCCAACCCGCAAGGGGGGCAGACGUCCAAGGUAUGACUCAUGAUUGGGGUGAAGUCGUAACAAGGUAACCGUAA